UCCUUCGGGGCCCGACCUCCAACCCUCUGCGUACCGACCCGGUUGCUUCGGCGGGCCGCGCCUUCCCCCUCCCGCUCGCCGGGGGGGUACGAUGGCCGUCGGCGCCUCACGGCGCCCGACCGCGCCCGCCGGAGGACAGCAAACUCCAGUUUUAAUAUUUGUCGUCUGAGAACUAUUCUAAUAGUAUAAAACUUUCAACAACGGAUCUCUUGGUUCUGGCAUCGAUGAAGAACGCAGCGAAAUGCGAUAAGUAAUGUGAAUUGCAGAAUUCAGUGAAUCAUCGAAUCUUUGAACGCACAUUGCGCCCCCUGGCAUUCCGGGGGGCAUGCCUGUUCGAGCGUCAUUACAAACCUCAAGCUCUGCUUGGUAUUGGGCCUCCGCCUCCCCCUCGCGGGGCGGGCGGGCCUCAAAGUCCUCGGCGGUGGCGCCUCGCCUCAAGCGUAGUAGAAAUUUAUCGUCUCGCUUCGGGGUGUGGGUGCGGCUCGCUGCAAAACCUUUUUAUUCAUUCUAAGGUUGACCUCGGAUCAGGGUAGGGAUACCCGCUGAACUUAAGCAUAUCAAUAAGCGGAGGAA
rnacentral:rRNA from 1 species